AACGCGAAGAACCUUACCUGGGUUAAAUCACGGAUGCAAGGGGCAGAGAUGUUCCCCCCUCGCAAGAGGCGUUCGUGAAGGUGCUGCAUGGCUGUCGUCAGCUCGUGUCGUGAGAUGUUGGGUUAAGUCCCGCAACGAGCGCAACCCUUACCACUAGUUGCCAACAGAAGAUGGGAACUCUAGCGGAACUGCCGGUGAUAAACCGGAGGAAGGUGGGGAUGACGUCAAGUCAUCAUGGCCUCUAUGUCCAGGGCUACACACGUGCUACAAUGGCCGGUACAAACCGUCGCAAACUCGCGAGAGGGAGCCAAUCGGAAAAAACCGGUCUCAGUUCGGAUUGGAGUCUGCAACUCGACUCCAUGAAGUUGGAAUCGCUAGUAAUCGCAGAUCAGCACGCUGCGGUGAAUACGUUCCCGGGCCUUGUA
rnacentral:rRNA from 1 species